rnacentral:rRNA from 1 species
UACGGAGGGUGCGAGCGUUGUUCGGAAUUACUGGGCGUAAAGGGCGCGUAGGCGGCUGGAUAAGUCAGAUGUGAAAGCCCACGGCUUAACUGUGGAAGUGCAUUUGAAACUGUCUGGCUUGAGUAUCGGAGGGGAGUGUGGAAUUCCCGGUGUAGAGGUGAAAUUCGUAGAGAUCGGGAGGAACACCGGUGGCGAAGGCGACACUCUGGACGAAUACUGACGCUGAGGCGCGAAAGCGUGGGGAGCAAACAGG